ACUAGGAAAAAUUGAUGAAGCUCUGGUUCGUCAAAGUGUCAUUUGUGUAGAAAUUCUCUCUACAGUGACGCCUGGAAAUUAAUUGAAUGGCUUCCUUUUCCCAUGUAUAUGUACAUUUUUUUGUUUUUCUUUUCUUGUUAGUUUGAGAUAAACAUGUUUGAAUUGAAUGGCUUCCUUUCCCCAUGGGAAUGACUGAUAUAUCUUCUUUCAGUUAGUUUCGAAUGGAACCUGCAACGGAGAAGACUAACAGAAGCUAAGAUAAAUCCUCUUCUCUAGAAGGAUCACGAAUGACAGGAGACAAGAAUAUACAAAAAUAUUAAACAUCAACUAAAGUGCAGAACACAAAACAUAGCAGGCACUACUAGGCAAAACAGAGCACCGCAUCGAGAAGACAAAACGAAAGCAAACUUGAAAAAGAUCUGAGGCCAAUGGAAACCAAGUUUGGCCAUAGAAUAUGUAGUAUACUUGGACGCUAUGACAGUCAACUUGCGCAGCUGUGAACUACAAAAAAGGAGUUUUAUAUUUUAUUCAUCUUCACACAAA